rnacentral:rRNA from 1 species
AAUUGGAAUGAGUACAAUGUAAAAACCUUAACGAGGAACAGUUGGAGGGCAAGUCUGGUGCCAGCAGCCGCGGUAAUUCCAGCUCCAAUAGCGUAUAUUAAAGUUGUUGCAGUUAAAAAGCUCGUAGUUGGAUUUUGGGAUAAGCUUGUUGGGCCGCCGCGAGGUGUUUGCCCCGACGAGGGUAUCCUUCCUCUCGAAAUUGGCGUGUGCGCUUAAUUGAGUGUGCGUCGAGUUUGGGACUUUUACUGUGAAAAAAUUAGAGUGUUCAAAGCAGGCUAUCGCUUGAAUAUUUCAGCAUGGAAUAAUGGAAUAGGACGUUGGUUCUAUUUUGUUGGUUCCUAGGACCGAAGUAAUGAUUAAUAGGGAUAGUUGGGGGCAUUAGUAUUUAAUUGUCAGAGGUGAAAUUCUUGGAUUUAUGAAAGACUAACUUCUGCGAAAGCAUUUGCCAAGGAUGUUUUCAUUAAUCAAGAACGAAAGUUAGGGGAUCGAAGAUGAUCAGAUACCGUCGUAGUCCUAACCAUAAACUAUGCCGACUAAGGAUUGGU